UUGAUCCUGGCUCAGAAUCAACGCUGGCGGCGCGCUUAACACAUGCAAGUCGAACGAGAAAGUGGAGCAAUCCAUGAGUAAAGUGGCGUACGGGUGAGUUACACGUGGAUAAUCUGCCCUAGAGUGGGGAAUAACGAUGGGAAACCGUCUCUAAUACCGCAUAAUCCCGAGAGGGGAAAGCAGCAAUGCGCUCAAGGAGUAGCCCGCGGCCGAUUAGCUUGUUGGUAGGGUAAUGGCCUACCAAGGCUUUGAUCGGUAGCCGGCCUGAGAGGGCACACGGCCACACUGGCACUGAAACAUGGGCCAGACUCCUACGGGAGGCAGCAGUGGGGAAUCUUGCACAAUGGGGUCAACCCUGAUGCAGCGACGCCGCGUGAGCGAUGAAGCCCUUCGGGGUGUUAAGCUCUUUCGUCAGGGAAGAUUAUGACGGUACCUGGAGAAGCAGCUGCUGCUAACUACGUGCCAGCAGCCGCGGUAAUU
rnacentral:rRNA from 1 species